UUCAAUGUGGAAAUUUCACACUAGAGGUGUCAGAAAAGUUACCACAGGGGUGGCGGUGGUGGUAUAUCGCCGCCCGCCCCUGUUAAAUCUCAGUGGUAGCUUUUAAGAGCAGGCUCAAAGUGUCCUGCUAGUCGGCCAUGGUCCGCCUGCUGUCCACCAAUGGACCAUGGGCACCGGCGACAUUGUCAAAUUGCGGGGACAUCCUAAAGCCGACUCCACCAAGUCGUCGUGGAAACACAGACGAUGGCCGAGCUAAUCGCCCUGGGUAUGGUAAAAGCGAGUCCGGAUACUGAAUGGGUAAUCCGCAGCCAAGUCCUACGUCGGGUCGCCCACGCCCGAUACGGAUGCAGUCCAACGACUAGAUGGCAAUGGGUCGGGCAUCCUAUACGUUGCCCGGCUUAAGAUAUAGUCUGGCCCACGGGAAAGCCGUGCCCAUCGGAUGAGGAGCCCGAGUGGAGGCUCCGGAGCCAUGGGAGGUCGUACCAUCCAAUAUAUGGGUGUGUGCGACUGGGAGCAUGUGUACCACAGGGGAUAACUGGGCUUGUGGCAGCCAAGGUUCAUAGCGACGUUGCUUUUUGAUUCUUCGAUG
rnacentral:ncRNA from 1 species